rnacentral:rRNA from 1 species
GACGAACGCUGGCGGCGUGCCUAACACAUGCAAGUCGAACGGGGUAUAGCAAUAUACCUAGUGGCGAACGGGUGAGUAACGCGUAGACAACCUGCCUUCUAGACGGGGACAACGUUGCGAAAGUGACGCUAAUACCGGAUGAGGUAUCCUGGGUGCAUACCUGGGGUAAGAAAGAUGGCCUCUAUAUAUAAGCUAUCGCUAGAAGAUGGGUCUGCGUCUGAUUAGCUAGUUGGCGGGGUAACGGCCCACCAAGGCGACGAUCAGUAGCCGGUCUGAGAGGAUGAACGGCCACACUGGGACUGAGACACGGCCCAGACUCCUACGGGAGGCAG